CUUAGCAGAGAUGCUUUGGUGCCUUCGGGAACUCUGAGACAGGUGCUGCAUGGCUGUCGUCAGCUCGUGUUGUGAAAUGUUGGGUUAAGUCCCGCAACGAGCGCAACCCUUAUCCUUUGUUGCCAGCGGCUCGGCCGGGAACUCAAAGGAGACUGCCGGUGAUAAACCGGAGGAAGGUGGGGAUGACGUCAAGUCAUCAUGGCCCUUACGGCCAGGGCUACACACGUGCUACAAUGGCGCAUACAAAGAGAAGCGACCUCGCGAGAGCAAGCGGACCUCACAAAGUGCGUCGUAGUCCGGAUUGGAGUCUGCAACUCGACUCCAUGAAGUCGGAAUCGCUAGUAAUCGUAGAUCAGAAUGCUACGGUGAAUACGUUCCCGGGCCUUGUACACACCGCCCGUCACACCAUGGGAGUGGGUUGCAAAAGAAGUAGGUAGCUUAACCUUCGGGAGGGCGCUUACCACUUUGUGAUUCAUGACUGGGGUGAAGUCGUAACAAGGUAGGCGUAGCGAG
rnacentral:rRNA from 1 species